rfam:Brassica oleracea var. oleracea cultivar TO1000 chromosome C6, whole genome shotgun sequence
GGGUCCUUAGAUCAGUGGUAGAGAAAUUGACUGCAGAUCAAUAGGUCACCGGUUCGAAUCCGGCAGGGCCCU